GGCGCGCAAAUUACCCACUCCCGGCACGGGGAGGUAGUGACGAAAAAUAACGAUACGGGACUCAUCCGAGGCCCCGUAAUCGGAAUGAGUACACUUUAAAUCCUUUAACAAGGAUCAAUUGGAGGGCAAGUCUGGUGCCAGCAGCUGCGGUAAUUCCAGCUCCAAUAGCGUAUAUUAAAGUUGUUGCGGUUAAAAAGCUCGUAGUCGAAUUUGUGUCUCAUGCCGCUGGUUCAUCGUUCGCGGUGUAAACUGGCGUGACAUGGGACGUCCUGCCGGUGGGUUUAGCCCUUAACGGGGCGGCCCUAUCUAAUCCUGCCGCGUUGCUCUUAAUCGAGUGUCGAGGUGGGCCGGCUCAUUUACUUUGAACAAAUUAAAGUGCUUAAAGCAGGCUAAAAUUUUGCCUGAAUAUGUGUGCAUGGAAUAAUGAAAAAGGACCUCGGUUCCAUUUUGUUGGUUUUAGGAACCCCGAGGUAAUGAUUAAUAGGAACGGAUGGGGGCAUUCGUAUUGCGACGUUAGAGGUGAAAUUCUUGGAUCGUCGCAAGACGAACAUAAGCGAAAGCAUUUGCCAAAAACGUUUUCAUUGAUCAAGAACGAAAGUUAGAGGUUCGAAGGCGAUCAGAUACCGCCCUAGUUCUAACCAUAAACGAUGCCAGCCAGCGAUCCGCCGAUGUUCCUCCGAUGACUCGGCGGGCAGCUUCCGGGAAACCAAAGCUUUUGGGUUCCGGGGGAAGUAUGGUUGCAAAGCUGAAACUUAAAGGAAUUGACGGAAGGGCACCACCAGGAGUGGAGCCUGCGGCUUAAUUUGACUCAACACGGGAAACCUCACCAGGCCCAGACACUGGAAGGAUUGACAGAUUGAGAGCUCUUUCUUGAUUCAGUGGGUGGUGGUGCAUGGCCGUUCUUAGUUGGUGGAGCGAUUUGUCUGGU
rnacentral:rRNA from 1 species